UUUAUCCUAAUUUCAGACCCACCCCCAAGAACUCACUUUUCGGAGCUGUGGCGGCAUUUGGGCCCCUCAUCUUCUGGUAUUACAUUUUCAAAACAGACAGGGACAGAAAGGAAAAACUUAUCCAGGAAGGAAAAUUGGACCGAUCUUUGAAUAUCACCUAUUAAUUUUGGCAAGGAUGACACGAUCCUUGAAUAAUUAAAUAAAUCUAUUAUCGCUGAACAGA